UACGUAGGGUGCAAGCGUUAAUCGGAAUUACUGGGCGUAAAGCGUGCGCAGGCGGUGAUGUAAGACAGUUGUGAAAUCCCCGGGCUCAACCUGGGAACUGCAUCUGUGACUGCAUCGCUGGAGUACGGUAGAGGGGGAUGGAAUUCCGCGUGUAGCAGUGAAAUGCGUAGAUAUGCGGAGGAACACCGAUGGCGAAGGCAAUCCCCUGGGCCUGCACUGACGCUCAUGCACGAAAGCGUGGGGAGCAAACAGGAU
rnacentral:rRNA from 1 species